AACGAACGCUGGCGGCAGGCUUAACACAUGCAAGUCGAGCGCCCCGCAAGGGGAGCGGCAGACGGGUGAGUAACGCGUGGGAAACUACCCUUUGGUACGGAAUAACUUGAGGAAACUUAAGCUAAUACCGUAUAAGUCCUUCGGGAGAAAGAUUUAUCGCCGAGGGAUGUGCCCGCGUCGGAUUAGCUAGUUGGUGAGGUAACGGCUCACCAAGGCGACGAUCCGUAGCUGGUCUGAGAGGAUGAUCAGCCACACUGGGACUGAGACACGGCCCAGACUCCUACGGGAUGCAGCAGUGGGGAAUAUUGGACAAUGGGCGCAAGCCUGAUCCAGCCAUGCCGCGUGAGUGAUGAAGGCCUUAGGGUUGUAAAGCUCUUUCGCACGCGAAGAUAAUGACGGUAGCGUGAGAAGAAGCCCCGGCUAACUUCGUGCCAGCCGCCGCGGUAACAC
rnacentral:rRNA from 1 species